rnacentral:rRNA from 1 species
AACUUUCAACAACGGAUCUCUUGGUUCUGGCAUCGAUGAAAAACGCAGCGAAAUGCGAUAAGUAGUGUGAAUUGCAGAAUUCAGUGAAUCAUCGAAUCUUU